UCAUGGCCUUUAUGACCAGGGCUACACACGUACUACAAUGGCAUAUACAAAGGGCGGCGACAUCGCGAGGUGAAAGCGAAUCCCAAAAAUAUGUCUCAGUCCGGAUUGGAGUCUGCAACUCGACUCCAUGAAGUUGGAAUCGCUAGUAAUCGCGGAUCAGCACGCCGCGGUGAAUACGUUCCCGGGCCUU
rnacentral:rRNA from 1 species